rnacentral:rRNA from 1 species
CCUACGGGUGGCAGCAGUGGGGAAUAUUGCACAAUGGGGGAAACCCUGAUGCAGCGACGCCGCGUGAGCGAGGAAGUAUUUCGGUAUGUAAAGCUCUAUCAGCAGGGACGAAAAAAGACGGUACCUGACUAAGAAGCCCCGGCUAACUACGUGCAAGCAGCCGCGGUAAUACGUAGGGGGCAAGCGUUAUCCGGAUUUACUGGGUGUAAAGGGAGCGUAGACGGCAAGGCAAGCCAGAAGUGAAAGGGCAGGGUUCAACCCUGUACAUGCUUUUGGAACGGUGGUGCUGGAGUGCAGGAGAGGUAAGUGGAAUUCCUAGUGUAGCGGUGAAAUGCGUAGAUAUUAGGAGGAACACCAGUGGCGAAGGCGGCUUACUGGACUGUAACUGACGUUGAGGCUCGAAAGCGUGGGGAGCAAACAGGAUUAGAUACCCUUGUAGUC